UAGGGAAUCUUCCACAAUGGACGCAAGUCUGAUGGAGCAACGCCGCGUGAGUGAAGAAGGUUUUCGGACCGUAAAGCUCUGUUGUUGGUGAAGAAGGAUAGAGGUAGUAACUGGCCUUUAUUUGACGGUAAUCAACCAGAAAGUCACGGCUAACUACGUGCCAGCAGCCGCGGUAAUACGUAGGUGGCAAGCGUUGUCCGGAUUUAUUGGGCGUAAAGCGAGCGCAGGCGGAAGAAUAAGUCUGAUGUGAAAGCCCUCGGCUUAACCGAGGAAUUGCAUCGGAAACUGUUUUCUUGAGUGCAGAAGAGGAGAGUAGAACUCCAUGAUGUG
rnacentral:rRNA from 1 species